GAAAACAUCGAAUGUAAUUUGUGUAUCGAUACAUAGGUGGAAUUGGCUUACUUCAAUCAUGAUGGCAUACUUCCAUUUGUAAUUAGAAACCUUAACAAGA